ensembl:lncRNA
UUUGUUUUCAAUCAAUAUUUUAUUCACUGCAUUCAUAUUAUGGCAACAUGCUCUUUAACACAAAAAUACAAAACAGCAAAGGUUCCAAAAUAAAUGUAAUGAUCGUGUAUUAAAAAUAAAGUAAGAGGUAAGACUAAAAAUCACACAUUUAUAGGGAGGACUUUAAAAGCAGGAACAGGAAUAGUAUAGAGGUGAAUGAAGGAGGGGUAUUUAUGCUUUCAUUAAGUAUUUUAGUGCUCUGAAGGGCUUUAAGCCAUAAGAAUUAGAGUAAUAAGAUAAACGUAUUUUAAAAAAUGAAGUAAAGAUUUAAAGUGUCAUUUAACACCUGAUUUCCUUAACAAAAGCCACAUCUCAAUCGGUAGUCCAGGUGUGACAGGGUGUGACACAGGAUGGCCUUUCCUCCUUAGGUCUCUGCAGUUCCUCAAGCAAGAUGGAGCCCGAUGACAUCACGGACUCCCACCAGACAAACUCCUUCAAUUCUCUACUCUCUCUCUCUCUUUCUCUCUCUGUGUGUGUUUUCUUAUCCAGUGAGACAGGUAAAAGCCGAAUAGCGAUUUUGAUUGGCACAGAGUUUCAUAAUAUAGCAUAACAAUGUUUACAUAUGAAUAAUAUAACAACAACAACAACAAGGAUAGAGUAACAACAGUCAACAGUAUAAUGAUAUAACUAAAAUAACAUAAAAAGGAACAUACAUUGUUACAAAAUGAAGCUACACAGGAACAGUUGAUGAAUUUCUAUACCAUUUAAAACCAGUUGGAACCACUUGGAACCAGUUGGAACCAUUUGGAACCAGUUGGAACCAUUUGAAACCAGUUGGAACCAGUUGAAACCACGUGGAACCAGUUGGAACCAGUUGAAACCACGUGGAACCAGUUGGAACCAGUUGAAACCACGUGGAACCAGUUGGAACCAUUUGGAACUAGUUGGAACCAUUUGGAACCAGUUGAAACCACGUGGAACCAGUUGAAACCACGUGGAACAAGUUGGAACCAGUUGGAACCAGUUGAAACCACGUGGAACCAGUUGGAACCAUUUGGAACUAGUUGGAACCAUUUGGAACCAGUUGAAACCAGUUGAAACCACGUGGAACAAGUUGGAACCAUUUGGAACCAGUUGAAACCAGUUGGAACCAGUUGAAACCAUGUGGAACCAGUUGGAACCAUUUGGAACCAGUUGAAACCAGUUGGAACCAGUUGAAACCAUGUGGAACCAGUUGGAACCAGAUGGAGCCAGUUGGAACCAGUUGAAACCAGUUGGAACCAUUUGAAACCAGUUGAAACCAGUUGGAACCAGAUGCAACCACCCAAGAGAGCAUAAAUCAGUUGAUAUAUACAAUGCUAUGCUGGUUUUACUGUAAAGGCUGGCUGGUGCAUUAUAAAUAAGCUAAAAUAUUACACUGUACUCAUGUAUGUCAACAUCAUAUUGGUAAUACAGUAUAGUACAAUGUCUUUAUAUUUUGUCAUGUUCAAUGAAGUAUAUUCAUUUGAUUAUGUUUUUUAAAAUUUAUAUUUCUCAUGACACAACAGGUCAGGUGAGAUCUUCAACACACCUUAGAGGGACUGUGUUUCAACACACCUGUUUCAACACACCUGAUCACAGAAUCAGAAUACUUUGUUAACUUGAUACCAUUCAGAUACCAGAUGUCCAAAGGGUCCUUCAUCACACAUGUAUAUAAUAAGUAGUGUAUAGUUCCGACAUAUGAGGAACAUGGCCAAUAGUAUAUCAAAGAGGGGAGUGGUCAGUGAGUAAAGGGAAAGACAAUAACAGAGGACAUAUGAAAAACUAUUUCCAGAGGAGGUAUAAACAUGACUUCGGGGACAGGGUGUUGUUUCCCGUCAGAGAGGGGAAGACAAAAAGUGUUACACAGAUUUAGAGCAAUCAAUGUUAGUGACCUCUGGACUCAUUCAGGAAGGUGUUAGUGACCUCUGGACUCAUUCAGGAAGGUGUUAGUGACCUCUGGACUCAUUCAGGAAGGUGUUAGUGACCUCUGGACUCAUUCAGGAAGGUGUUAGUGACCUCUGGACUCAUUCAGGAAGGUGUUAGUGACCUCUGGACUCAUUCAGGAAGGUGUUAGUGACCUCUGGACUCAUUCAGGAAGGUGUUAGUGACCUCUGGACUCAUUCAGUAAGGUGUUAGUGACCCCUGGACUCAUUCAGGAAGGUGUUAGUGACCUCUGGACUCAUUCAGGAAGGUGUUAGUGACCUCUGGACUCAUUCAGGAAGGUGUUAGUGAUCUCUGGACUCUUUCAGGAAGGUGUUAGUGACCUCUGGACUCAUUCAGGAAGGUGGUAGAGUGACCUCUGGACUCAUUCAGGAGAAUGUUAGUGACCUCUGGACUCAAUCAGGAGAAUGUUAGUGACCUCUGGACUCAUUCAGAGAAUGUUAGAGUGACCUCUGGACUCAUUCAGGAGAAUGUUAGUGACCUCUGGACUCAUUCAGGAAGGUGUUAGUGACCUCUGGACUCAUUCAGGAGAAUGUUAGAGUGACCUCUGGACUCAUUCAGGAGAAUGUUAGCGUGACCUCUGGACUCAUUCAGAGAAUGUUAGAGUGACCUCUGGACUCAUUCAGGAGAAUGUUAGAGUGACCUCUGGACUCAUUCAGGAGAAUGUUAUAGUGACCUCUGUACUCAUUCAGGAGAAUGUUAGAGUGAUCUCUGGACUCAUUCAGGAGAAUGUUAGAGUGAUCUCUGGACUCAUUCAGGAGAAUGUAAGAGUG